UACGUAGGGGGCUAGCGUUGUCCGGAAUCAUUGGACGUAAAGAGCGUGUAGGCGGCCCGGUAAGUCCGCUGUGAAAGUCGGGGGCUCAACCCUCGAAUGCCGGUGGAUACUGUCGGGCUAGAGUGCGGAAGAGGCGAGUGGAAUUCCUGGUGUAGCGGUGGAAUGCGCAGAUAUCAGGAGGAACACCAAUGGCGAAGGCAGAUCUCUGGGCCGUAACUGACGCUGAGGAGCG
rnacentral:rRNA from 1 species